rnacentral:lncRNA from 1 species
CUUCCUGGAAGUGAUCAUUUUAAGCAUUUAUAUGGCAUCAAUCUUUUUCACUGUAUUGAUCCAAAUGAUUUCAAGCAUAAGAGAAUGGACAGAUCGGUUUUGUUUGUUUACAAAAAGGAAAAUGGGGCCAGUCAUGGCCAAGGUUAACAAAACAAAGGGCAAAGCUUAACUGGCUUAGUGUGGACUCCAAUCAUUGGAAAGACUGGGAAGAUGGUUCAGAUGAAGCCAUGUCUGAUUUUGAUUAUUUCUCUGAGAUGAUGAACCACAUGGGUGGUGAAGAGGAUGUAGAUUUAGCAGAUGGAGCAGAUGAUCAUUCACAAGACAGUGAUGAUGAAAAAAUGCCAGAUCUGGAGUAA